CGGACACCGGUGUCUUGUCUAGACUAGCGUAUCUAGGGUGUACAUUUUGUUCGCUAGGUCGGAGGCACCGGGAGACUAAGCAGACUCUGGUGUACAUUAUCGUUUGCUAGUUCUCAACCUAUCUUGGCUAAGUGGGAAGGCAUGUAAAUUUGGAACCCACUAGACUAUUGAUAGAGUAGAUAGACUAAAAGGGUAUUGUUGUAAAUUCCGC